AGGAAAAAUCUUUAAAAAUCUUCUUCUCCAGAACCACUGGGCCAGGAAAGAUGAAACUCAUGUGGAAUCAUCCUCAGGUAGUGUAGAUUCAAGUUUGUUCAAAUCAUGACCCCCGGGGCAAGGGGUGGAGCCAAAAUGGCCGACCCUAGUUUUACAUAGGAAUAUAUAGGAAAAAUCUUUAAAAAUCUUCUUCUCCAGAACCACUGGGCCAGGAAAGAUGAAACUCAUGUGGAAUCAUUCUCAGGUAGUGUAGAUUCAAGUUUGUUCAAAUCAUGACCCCCGGGGCAAGGGUGGGGCCAAAAUGGCCGACCCAAGUUUUACAUAGGAAUAUAUAGGAAAAAUCUUUAAAAA